GGAGAGCACUGGAUGUAAGGUUGGCUCUUGGCAGACACCCGACAGCCGGCGACGUGUGAAGUUCUGGCUAGUGAGAACAUCUGACUGCUGAUAGCCGCAUGUUAAAAUAGGUGAAGGGACUUGUCUGGAUAUGAGAUGAGACACAACAGCCUCUUCGCUCUCAGGCGCCUGCCCAGGUUCUCGAGUUCCGAGGACCUCCAUCACUUGCGACCAAGUUUCAUGAAGAGACCUCGCUCGGCUGGUACCCGGCCACCCUCGAGCCCUUGAGAAGUGCGCUUCGAUGGACAGAAGUCAUUUCUUGGAAGAUGACCAUCGAAGAUUUAAGGGACAGAGACAGGGCCUAGCGGCCAACGGCGUUUUGUGACCCUGGCAACAUCCGAGAUGCAACUAUAGGGAGGCUUUGGACUUCAUCAGCAUCACUUACUCGUAUAACGAUGUGCAAUGUUGGGCAUGCAGCCUUAAGAAGCAGGGACCCUUGAAAUGUGCUGUAAGGUUCAAGAGGGCGGUACGAAGACAUUAUGCAGAAAACAUUUAUCACAUAAUUUUCUGUGCUCAUAAAGGUACACUGCAAGACUAUGUAAAAAAAUGCUGUAUUUUCGAGGUAUGUUUGUUACUUUGUUAUGAAAAACGAGGCUUUGUUCUGUGAAUAAAGAUUUCCGGUAACUUCUCCCUCGAAUUCGACGGAGAAACUUUGGCAGAGCAGCCACUGUUAGCAAAAAAGAGAUUAAAACAGGGUGUUGUUUAA